UACGUAGGGUGCGAGCGUUGUCCGGAAUUAUUGGGCGUAAAGAGCUCGUAGGCGGUGUGUCACGUCGGCCGUGAAAACCUGCAGCUUAACUGUGGGCGUGCGGUCGAUACGGGCAUCACUGGAGUUCGGCAGGGGAGACUGGAAUUCCUGGUGUAGCGGUGAAAUGCGCAGAUAUCAGGAGGAACACCGGUGGCGAAGGCGGGUCUCUGGGCCGGUACUGACGCUGAGGAGCGAAAGCGUGGGGAGCGAACAGG
rnacentral:rRNA from 1 species